UGGGGAAUAUUGGGCAAUGGGGGCAACCCUGACCCAGCGACGCCGCGUGGGGGAAGACGGCCUUCGGGUUGUAAACCUCUUUUGUACGGGAAGAAGGAAGUGACGGUACUGUACAAAUAAGUCCCGGCUAACUACGUGCCAGCAGCCGCGGUAAUACGUAGGGGACGAGUGUUGUCCGGAAUUACUGGGCGUAAAGGGCGCGCAGGCUGUGCUGCAAGUCAGCUGUUAAAUGUCUGGGCUUAACCCGGGCAUGCGGUUGAGACUGCAGUGCUGGAGUGCUGUAGAGGCAAGUGGAAUUCCCAGUGUAGCGGUGAAAUGCGUAGAUAUUGGGAAGAACACCGGUGGCGAAGGCGACUUGCUGGGCAGCAACUGACGCUGAGGCGCGAAAGCCAGGGGAGCAAACGG
rnacentral:rRNA from 1 species